rnacentral:rRNA from 1 species
GAUCAUGGCUCAGGAUGAACGCUAGCUACAGGCUUAACACAUGCAAGUCGAGGGGCAGCAUUUUAGUUUGCUUGCAAACUGAAGAUGGCGACCGGCGCACGGGUGAGUAACACGUAUCCAACCUGCCGAUAACUCCGGAAUAGCCUUUCGAAAGAAAGAUUAAUACCGGAUAGCAUACGAAUAUCGCAUGAUAUUUUUAUUAAAGAAUUUCGGUUAUCGAUGGGGUGCGUCCAUAGUUUG